ACGAACGAGGAAAAAUUUGACCUGAUUGCAACCUCUAUAAAAAUAUGCUAAAACAGUAUUC
rfam:Chryseobacterium gambrini strain DSM 18014 genome assembly, contig: Ga0111674_119